GCCGGGUGUGGUGGCGGGCGCCUGUAGUCCCAGCUACUUGGGAGGCUGAGGCAGGAGAAUCACUUGAACCCAGGAGUCAGAGGUUGCAGUGAGCUAAGAUGGAGCCACUGCAUUCCAGCCUGGGUGACACAGUGAGACUCUGUCUCCA
rnacentral:SRP_RNA from 1 species